rnacentral:rRNA from 1 species
UACGGAGGGGGCUAGCGUUGUUCGGAAUUACUGGGCGUAAAGGGCGCGUAGGCGGCGCGAUAAGUUGGGCGUGAAAGGCCCGGGCUCAACCCGGGGACUGCGCUUGAUACUGUCGCGCUGUGAGUCCGGGAGAGGAUGGCGGAAUUCCCAGUGUAGAGGUGAAAUUCGUAGAUAUUGGGAAGAACACCGGCGGCGAAGGCGGCCAUCUGGACCGGCACUGACGCUGAGGCGCGAAAGCGUGGGGAGCAAACAGG